rnacentral:rRNA from 1 species
UACGUAGGGUGCAAGCGUUGUCCGGAAUUAUUGGGCGUAAAGAGCUCGUAGGCGGUUUGUCGCGUCUGCUGUGAAAACUCAGGGCUUAACCCUGAGCCUGCAGUGGGUACGGGCAGACUAGAGUGUGGUAGGGGAGAUCGGAAUUCCUGGUGUAGCGGUGGAAUGCGCAGAUAUCAGGAGGAACACCGGUGGCGAAGGCGGGUCUCUGGGCAACUACUGACGCUGAGGAGCGAAAGCGUGGGGAGCGAACAGG